UACGUAGGGGGCAAGCGUUGUCCGGAUUUAUUGGGCGUAAAGAGCGUGUAGGCGGCCAGAUAGGUCUGCUGUGAAAACUCGAGGCUUAACCUCGAGAUGUCGGCGGAAACCAUCUGGCUAGAGUCCGGAAGAGGAGAGUGGAAUUCCUGGUGUAGCGGUGAAAUGCGCAGAUAUCAGGAAGAACACCCGUGGCGAAGGCGGCUCUCUGGAACGCAACUGACGCUGAGACGCGAAAGCGUGGGGAGCAAACAGG
rnacentral:rRNA from 1 species